rnacentral:lncRNA from 10 species
UUUAAAGUUAAUUUAUUAAAUUUUUGUUGUACAUAAAAGAACAUUAAGUAUUAGACUUGCAAAGCACUUGCAUUUCUUAUCUGACAUCUUUUAGGACAAUUUGAUUCAUUGUAAAUCCACAUAUAUGUCAUUUUAAAAUCAAAGAUAAUAUUAAACAAUUUCAGAAAAUUGUUUUAAUAAUAUACAGCACUCCUCCUUCUAAAAAUAUUUUAAAACAUAAGUAUUGACAAAUUAUAACCUAUUUUAAAUUGUGUAGAGUUUUUCAUGUAUUAAAUUUAUUUUACUCUAGCAAGUAGUAUAAACAAAAUAAACAUUUAAGCCAAAAAGUUCAAACAUCAAUGAUCACUGAUUUAGAUAAACAAAUGAAGUAGAGUAAUAAUUACUUUAGAUAAAUACUAAAGAGUUUUAUGUGAUCAUUCAUUAUAAUUUAAAAUAGUGCUACAGAGAAUGUCAUCUUGGCUUGCUAACUUUUUCUGAAUUCAAUAUGUUAAUAUGAGUAUCUAAUUAUGCAAUACAAGUAAACAAUAGUUUGCAAGAUUGGCAAAUUUAAUAGGUUAAAAAAUGCACAUUCUAAGGGCAUGUAAUUCCUGUUCACAUAAUUAUUGCCAUUCUUUUAUACUAGGAUCAAACACUAGAUAAAUGUUGUGCUUUGGUCUUUGAACAGUUUUAAACUUCUACUGUUAAGUUAGAAGUCACUUGCAGAAAAUUACCCAAAUUAUUUUUAUGAUAAAAUAAGCAUUAAAAAUGUAGAUUUUCAGUAUGGAAGCUCCUUUGCCUUAGACUUGUGACCCAAAACUUAAUUAUAAAAUGGAGAUGAAGUAAGGAAGUAUGCCAGGAAAGCCAAAACAAGGCAGAUAAAAGUUUUCUUCUAGGUUGCUUAUAAGCAUGCCUGAUUUAGUGAUAGGUAGCUUUUUCUUAACCACUUCAGGGCUUUAGUUUCUGCUGAGUGUUUCAUUACGUUGGUCAUUGAUAUAAAACAAUAUUUUGGGUAUUAAUUAUUUAUUUCUUUUAAUUCAAAACUUAGGUGAAGCUAUAAAAAUGAAAAGAUGGGGGCGGGCACGGUGGCUCAUGUCUGCAACCCCAGCACUUAGGGAGUCCGAGGCGGGUGGAUCACCUGAGGUCUGGAGUUCGAGACCAGCCUGAUCAACAUGGUGAAACCUCGUCUCCACUAAAAAUACAAAAGUUGGUCAGGCAUAGUGGUGGGUGCCUGUAGUCCCAGCUACUCGGAGGGCUGAGACAAGGGAAUUGCUUGAACCCAGGAAGUGGAGGUUGCAGUGAGCUGAGAUCAUGCCACUGGACUCCAGCCUGGGCGACAGAGCAAGACUCCAUCUAAAAAAAAAAAAGGAUGGGAUUUUACAAUAUAUAAUACAGUUUUUAAAAAUUCUAAGCCUCAAUGACUAUAUUUGGUUUUAAUUAUCAUAUUAUCAAAAUACCUGUUGUAUAUAUUUUUAUUGUGUAUAAUUAUACAUAGUGAUUUCUCAUUACAGACCAUUACUUUGGAAUGACUGAUGGAAGGCUAGUUAGAACUAGUGAUAAAUCAGAAUUUUAAAAUAGUUUUAAAGAGAUGAAUUUAUCACUUACAACUGCAUUUAUAAUAAAUUAGUUGCCUACGUAUUGUUUUCCCUAACAAAUAGUAUUUACUGGAUUUAAGACUGUCACAAGAUUCUCAAUGUUUUGUUUUGGUUCUACUAUUCAUUCCUUUUAUGUCAUCUUUUCUCAACCAUUUCAUUUAUCCUUACUUUCCAUUUCUAAAUUCCUGUACACAUUUCCAGUUAUAAAAUAAGCCGAAAUUGGAAUGGAAUAAUUUCCUGUGUUCUCUGUGCCUUAACAUCACAAAAGUGUACCACUAAGUUGAAUUUAAAGCUAUGGAACUUCCACUUUAGGCAACAUGGCGAACUAGACGUCCAAGUACGAAAAGGACAGAGUAUGCUUUGUGGUGGACUAAAGGCUAGGGCCCAGGGUGUGUGUGUGUGUGUGUGUGUGUGUGUGUGUGUGUGUGUGUGUGUGUGUGUGUAAUCCAAGGCCUUUGCAUAAAGCCAAGAACUUGCAAAGACAACAUACUCAAUAGGUGAACUAGAAAGAAACUGUGCUCCACAGAGCAAAACUGUCAGUAUAUUUGCCUAUCUCAGUCUUAGCUCCGGGUAAAAAUAAACAAAAAAAUGAACCCCCAAAUGUGUCCCCUGUCUAUUCCUAAUAAAAUGGUUGCAUUCUACCUGAUUUAGGGCUAGAAACCACAAUACCUAUGUAGCGUUCCCUCCCCACUCCCAGAUAAUCAAGCUGAAAUUUUAAGGUGAUCUGAGUUUGGUAGUAGUAUCAGCAGUCUGAAAAAUGCAAAUACAAAUUCUCUCUUGAGGAAUGAACUUUAAAUCUAGGUCUAAAGAUUUUUCAGAGAUAAAAAUCCAAGGAACAUGGGCUCAGUAAACAAGCCAUUCCUGGUAACAGUGACAGCAAAACACAUAAACUACAGAAUUAGAUCCACAAAACACCAAUGAUUUGGAAAUAUCAGAUACAGAAUCUAAAAUGUUUGCUUCAUACAGUUGAAGAAAUGAAAAAGGAUGUUGAGUUUAUAAUAAAGGUACAAGAUAUUAUAAAAAAUAAGCAGCAUAUAUGAAGAACAAAAGGGAAUCGUAAAACUGAAAAAUGUAAUGAUUGAACUUAGCAAACUCAGUGGAAUGGAAAACCUGAAGGUUAACAAGCUGGAGACUGACACUCUGACUCAAAAUCAACCUUGGAGACCCUACAGAAUGGAGAGGAUUGGAUGGAUCUGAGGAUGGGACAUAACAAAUUUAGAACAUCUUAGGAAGAAUUAAAGUUAUCAUGGACUAAAUGUGUGUAUGUGGGGGGUGGGUGGUGGGGCUUGGGGACAAGGCAUUUAGCAGCCCUGGGCUGAGAUGGUUAGGCACAGUAGUGUGAGGAUAGGUGAUGGAAAAGCUUUUAAGUUCUGCUUUGGCCUCUGUCCCACAAUAACUGUCCUGCUGACAGUGUCCAUCACUGGGUAACUAGAUCAUUAAAACAUAAUGUGUGCACAUUAUGGAUUGCUGUGCAGCAGUUAGAAGCAAUAGAUUAAAUAUAGUAGUAUACUAUGUAUAUACUACAGAAAUAUGAAUAUAUCUUUAAAAUCACAGAGCUUCAUAAGAAAAUUAGGAAGAAUAUAACUUACAGAAAAUAGGUACUCAAGAUAAUAUAUGUUACAUGAAAACAUAUACAUACCAAGAUAUGCAUCAAACACAUUAGAAUAUUUGCCUAUGAUAUUAGGAAGGGGUAUGAAAGUGGGUAUUAGGGACAAAACAGAAUAAGUAAAUAAAGCCAGAGGGACCUUAUUAGAACCAAUUAUAAUUGUGUAUCAUGAACUAAAGAGUGUAAGGAGAGUGAUCACUCAACUCGAUGAACCUAGAGUUAAAACAAAAAGAAGGAAAAAACAAACUCAGUGGAUGAGUUGGAGAGAUUAGAUAUACUGUUCAAAGAAGAAACUGGAAGAGACAUCUAAAGAAAUUACAUGGAGUGUAAGUUAGAGAUACAAAGUGUGGUGAGAAAAGAUCAAAGGAUGUAUGUAGAGUGAGAGGAUCUAAUGUAGAGUGUGAGAACAGUAAUAUUCACAGAGAGAAUGGCUGAGAAGAUUCCAUACUUGAUGGGAGACACCUGUGCUCAGAUUCAAGAAGCAGCAGGACAUGCAAGCAUGAGAAACAGAAAGAAACUAAGAACAUCAAAGACAAAGAGGACACGUUAAAGUAGUCAGAGAGAAGAGACAGACUACCUAUUGAGUAAUUAAACUCACUAACGGCUAUCCGCCCAAUAACAACAAUGGAUACCUUAAGAACGGGCAAUAUCUUCAAAGUGCUGUGAGGAAAUAACUGUCAAUCUAGAUUUGUGCAUCCAGCAAAACCAUCUUUCAAGAAGGAGAGUAAAAAUAAAGACACCCUAAAUCAAGCAAAAAUAGAAUUUGCACCAGCAGACCUUCACUGAAGGAACAUUCAGAACAUGUACUUCAGGAAGGAUAAAAUAAAUGCUAGACUGUCUUAUUUACUUACUAAGAAUGUAAAUAUUUUGUAAUGUUAUUUUUAAAGUCAGUUUCCUUUUCUCAAAACAGUAGCAGAUUUCUGAAAUAUUAGAAGUUCCAAUUAACGAAGCAUGAAUUAACUGGACUUUAUUACCUGCCUUGCCUGCUUAUAUAUUGCAUCAUCAUUUAUAUCAGAUGCCAAUCAUGUGGUACUCUGAUAUUAGAAUCUUUGAAUCACUGGGCUUGGUGGUACAUGCCUGUAGUCCAGGUUCCCAAGGGACCAAAGCGGGAGGAUCACUUGAGGUCAGGAUUUGAGACCAGCCUGGGCAACACAGCCAGAUACUCUCUCAAUUGAAAAAAAAUCUUUGAAUUAUUGACACAAUGCUGCAUGUGUCAUAUGAAAUUACACUGCAUUACAUGAUGUUGUAAUUCAAAAUAGAACACAUGAACUCCAAAUCCAAAAGGUGAGACAUCAAAACCAAAUACUAUAUCUAGCUUCUCAGUUUAUAUAUAUGAAAGCAUUUAGGAAAGGGUUAAUUGCAAUAUUUGCAUAACCUGUAUAGUUUAUACUAAAGCCAAAUGAUAUAAUCAAUGCUGUAAUUAUUUCAACAUUUGCUCCCAUAAUAAACCUAAUACUAAUGUCUAGGGCAAUUUCUGAAUAUAUAAUAGGUUCUGUGUUUUCUUAUACAUUAAAUCUUAUCAGUAUCUAACUUGAACAUGAAAGGUCUUAUGUAACCAGAAAUUUUGUUCUAUUGAGCCAUAGUAUACAAAGUAAUAAGGAACAUUUAUGCAUGAUUAAAUAUUGAAGUGAAGUUGAAGCAUUCAAUCUACUGUGAAACUCAUUUAAUGCACACAUACCCUGGAAAUAUAGGUAUUAUUAAUAUUAUACUUGAAGGGAACAUUUUCAUCCAGUGUAACUCAUGGAAAUUCAAUUUCCUUCUUCUGUGAGAAUUUGGAAUUUGU